rnacentral:rRNA from 1 species
UACAGAGGUCCCAAGCGUUGUUCGGAUUCAUUGGGCGUAAAGGGCGCGUAGGCGGCCUGAUAAGUAGGGGGUGAAAUCUUGCGGCUCAACCGCAAGGCUGCCUUCUAAACUGUCAGGCUGGAGCACGGUAGAGGCAGAUGGAAUUCCCGGUGUAGCGGUGGAAUGCGUAGAGAUCGGGAAGAACACCAGUGGCGAAGGCGGUCUGCUGGGCCGUUGCUGACGCUGAGGCGCGACAGCGUGGGGAGCAAACAGG